rnacentral:rRNA from 1 species
AUCGAUGAAGAACGCAGCGAAAUGCGAUAAGUAAUGUGAAUUGCAGAAUUCAGUGAAUCAUCGAAUCUUUGAACGCACAUUGCGCCCCUUGGUAUUCCGAGGGGCAUGCCUGUUCGAGCGUCAUUACACCACUCAAGCCUCGCUUGGUAUUGGAGGACGCGGUUCGCCGCGCCUCUCGAAUCGUCCGGCUGAGUUCACCGUCUCUUAGCGUUGUGGAAAUCUAUUCGCUUACGAGAUCCGGUGGCGCUCACGCCGUUAAACACCUUUCUCAGGUUGACCUCGGAUCAGGUAGGGAUACCCGCUGAACUUAAGCAUAUCAAUAAGCGGAGGAAAAGAAACCAACAGGGAUUGCCCUAGUAACGGCGAGUGAAGCGGCAACAGCUCAAAUUUGAAAUCUGGCGCUUUCAGCGUCCGAGUUGUAAUUUGUAGAGGAUGCUUCUGGGUAGCCACCGGUCUAAGUUCCUUGGAACAGGACGUCAUAGAGGGUGAGAAUCCCGUAUGCGACCGGCCGGCACCCUCCACGUAGCUCCUUCGACGAGUCGAGUUGUUUGGGAAUGCAGCUCUAAAUGGGAGGUAAAUUUCUUCUAAAGCUAAAUAUUGGCCAGAGACCGAUAGCGCACAAGUAGAGUGAUCGAAAGAUGAAAAGCACUUUGGAAAGAGAGUUAAAAAGCACGUGAAAUUGUUGAAAGGGAAGCGCUUGCAACCAGACUUGUCUGCGGUGUUCCGCCGGUCUUCUGACCGGUCUACUCAUCGUAUGCAGGCCAGCAUCAUUUGGGACCGCUGGAUAAAACCUUAGGAAUGUGGCUCCUCGGAGUGUUAUAGCCUGAGUUAAUGCAGUGAGUCCCGAGUGAGGUCCGCGCUUCGGCUAGGAUGCUGGCGUAAUGGUUGUAAGCGGCCCGUCUUGAAACACGG